rnacentral:sRNA from 1 species
AAUUUGAAAAGUAGUCACUUUACUAUUCAUAAUUUGCAAAAUAGUCACUUUUCACUGUUUGAUUCGUACACUUAGAUUGUACACCAUUUUUAGUGUACAGAUGUAUAUAAAAAAUACACAGCGUACACUUUACAUUUGUACACUAAAAGUGAUGUAAUCCAAGUGUACGAAUCAAACAGUGAAAAGUGACUACUUUGCAAAUUAUGAAUAGUAAAGUGACUACUUUCCUAAUUAAGUUUGAAAAAGUGACUAUUUUGCCAAUACACCCAUUAAUAAUAAUGCGAUGCUAUUUCACGACGUACUUAUCCAAAACAUAUAACGUUAACAAACAACUAAAGGGACCACUAUCAUUAUUGC